GAAGAGCAGUUGCCUUGGGCAGUUGCAUUUUUCACUGUGAAUUAUACACUGACAUUUUGGUUUUUAUAUUCCUCCUAAUGAACAUUUCAGUCUUGUAACAUCAUCUCUUUUGGUCCUGGAACACAAAAGCCAGACCCCAUGUAGAGGAAAUUCAAGGCAGAAAUGGAAACCAACCAGUUGGGGAGACUGUAGUGAGUGGAUCAACCAUUGAGAAGGACUCUAUCCAGAUGAACUCAGGAAACUAAAACAAGCUAGGCACCGAAAGGCCGCCCACUCCACAAGUGCUGAAUUUGUGCAAGUGAACAUCCUGUCCAGUCUCAUGGGACCAAUCAACCACGGACAGAGCCUCGGAAUCUACAAGCCCAAGCCAGCAAGUCUUUCUUCAUGUGGUUUACGUCAAGUCUUUGCCACAUCAGCACAAAGACUAAAGCAAUAGGUUCAGUCUACACCCUGGGGUAGUGGAUUGCACAUGGGUGUGACAGGGUGGGGUCAAUGAGAGCCAUGACUAGGGUUGCUUGGAUAUGGCUCUCCUUGUAUUUACGCUGCUUGGUGUUUGUUGAUUCAGCAAUUAAUGCUUUUCACAAAAUUUGGGAACAUUUGUUGCUAUAAAUUCCUCAUGUAUUUUUUUCUACUCCAUUUCUCCUCUUAACUUUUAUGCUUCUAGUUUCCUGUUUGCCUAUCCUUUUCAUAUUAUCCCUUAGCACCUAAGCCCUUAUUAACUUCUAAAAUAUAUUUCUACUUGUUCUUUGAGGAGUUCAUACAUGCAUACAAUGUAUUCUAUCAUAUUCACCCCUUUCCAGAACUCUACCUCCUGGGUCCACCUCCGCAUGCCCCUCUUCCAACUUUAUUCCUGUAAUUUUGGUUUGUUUCAGUAACCUAUUGAGUCCACUAGCACUGCC
rnacentral:lncRNA from 1 species